GAGGAAAGUACUGGCUUCGACUUCUCUUCCUAUGGGAGAGUUGGGGCUUUGCUGGGGAGCGCUGGUAGCUUUGCUGGGCAGGAACAAGGAUUGCCAUCUGGGGGAGGGCUGGGGUGAGCUGGAAGGCUGCUAGCACAGCCUGAGGGAAAAAGAGGGUGGUACCUCUCAAAGUAUCUCACUCCCUCCAAAAAUACGUCCGUACUUCAUGGGUGCGAAUGCAGCUCAGGAAGAAAUUUCUAAGCUAGCAUUAAAUUCGCAUGCAGGAGCAUCUGUACCACCUGCAAGGUCUGAAAAAUCCUGCCAGAAUGUUGGGUUGAACUAUACUGAAAGGCCCUUCCUUCUACUGCAAAAGAGUCAGGUUUUUUCAUAUCACACUCCAGGAGAGCAAAGAUGGUGCCAGGGCAGCUACAACUACAGCUUCUACUGGAUCAGUGCCUGACUGAGGAAAGCAGGAAUUCAGGACUAUGGUCUCCAAGGUCUUUGACUAAACUCAUUAAAACUUGGACACAAACAUGAAGUGGUGAGAUGCAUUGGUCCCCAGCCCCUCCUCUCCCCUAACUCUGGCAGGCACCAAGGAGUGCCCCCCGCCAAGCCCCUGCCCCUGAAGCUGCCUGAGGGGCGACCACCCCAGGAACAAGGCAAGGAUGCUCUCUGGCAUCAACCUGGACUAAGCAGAGCACAGAACAGGCCACAAAAGCUAGGGGCUCAAGGCUGCCCACACACAAAUUCAAGCCCCAAACUGCCAGACAGGCUGAUUUCAUCGGUGCUUUUUUAUAACCAGAUUAUUGCUUGGUUAAUUCAUGCGGGUUCAACUGAAAGACCCCAAAAGACCCAAGAAAUAUUGUAGGAAUAAGCAACAGGAUGAAAAUAUUUCAACUUUGACUUAUACUAGGAGAGAUGGAGGUAAUUAAUUACAUCUUUGGUUUUUUAAUUUAUAUGUACCAUUACUGAUUUGUAAGUGCUGUUUUUCGAUGGGGAAUGGCUGAAGUAGCAUGUGAAGUCUGACUGGAUUCCAGAAUAACAAAAGCAAUUGUUUUUCCCUUGUUCUUGUGUUUUAUAUAUUGACUACACGUACACAUUCUUGGCACACACCACAGUUUUUACAGUGCAAAAAUUUUAAUGCAAUUAGAAAAAUAAACAAUUUCAAAU
rnacentral:lncRNA from 1 species